UACAGAGGUCUCAAGCGUUGUUCGGAAUGACUGGGCGUAAAGGGCUCGUAGGCGGCCAACUAAGUCAGACGUGAAAUCCCUCAGCUUAACUGGGGAACUGCGUCUGAUACUGGAUGGCUUGGAUUCGGGAGAGGAAUGCGGAAUUCCAGGUGUAGCGGUGAAAUGCGUAGAUAUCUGGAGGAACACCGGUGGCGAAGGCGGCAUUCUGGACCGACAUUGACGCUGAGGAGCGAAAGCCAGGGGAGCAAACGGG
rnacentral:rRNA from 1 species